AGCAGCCGCGGUAAUUCCAGCUCCAAUAGCGUAUAUUAAAGUUGUUGCAGUUAAAAAGCUCGUAGUUGAAUUUCGGGGUUAGUAGGUUGGUCAUGCCACUGGUAUGUACUGGUCUCACUGAUUCCUCCUUCCUGAUGAACCGUAAUGCCAUUAACUUGGUGUUGCGGGGAGACUGGACUGUUACUUUGAAAAAAUUAGAGUGUUUAAAGCAGGCUAACGCUUGAAUACAUUAGCAUGGAAUAAUGAAAUAGGACGUUCGAUCCUAUUUUGUUGGUUUCUAGGAUUGACGUAAUGAUUAAUAGGGAUAGUUGGGGGCAUUAGUAUUCAAUUGUCAGAGGUGAAAUUCUUGGAUUUAUUGAAGACUAACUACUGCGAAAGCAUUUGCCAAGGAUGUUUUCAUUAAUCAAGAACGAAAGUUAGGGGAUCGAAGACGAUCAGAUACCGUCGUAGUCUUAACCAUAAACUAUGCCGACUAGGGAUCGGAUGAUGUUAAUUUUUUAAUGACUCAUUCGGCGCCUUACG
rnacentral:rRNA from 1 species